rnacentral:rRNA from 1 species
GUAGGGUGGCAAGCGUUGUCCGGAAUUAUUGGGCGUAAAGCGCGCGCAGGCGGUCCUUUAAGUCUGACGUGAAAGCCCACGGCUCAACCGUGGAGGGUCAUUGGAAACUGGGGGACUUGAGUACAGAAGAGGAAAGCGGAAUUCCAAGUGUAGCGGUGAAAUGCGUAGAGAUUUGGAGGAACACCAGUGGCGAAGGCGGCUUUCUGGUCUGUAACUGACGCUGAGGCGCGAAAGCGUGGGGAGCAAACAGGAUUAGAUACCCUGGUAGUCCACGCCGUAAACGAUGGGUGCUAAGUGUUAGGGGGUUUCCGCCCCUUAGUGCUGCAGCUAACGCAUUAAGCACUCCGCCUGGGGAGUACGGCCGCAAAGGCUG